UACAGAGGGGGCAAGCGUUGUUCGGAAUUACUGGGCGUAAAGGGCGCGUAGGCGGCCCGGUAAGUCCGCUGUGAAAGUCGGGGGCUCAACCCUCGAAUGCCGGUGGAUACUGUCGGGCUAGAGUGCGGAAGAGGCGAGUGGAAUUCCUGGUGUAGCGGUGAAAUGCGCAGAUAUCAGGAGGAACACCAAUUGCGAAGGCAGCUCGCUGGGACGUGACUGACGCUGAGACGCGAAAGCGUGGGGAGCAAACAGG
rnacentral:rRNA from 1 species